UGGAGAUGGACGGAGAAACAACGACCGCACCAGAGCAACGUUUCGACUGCGUCCAAGAAGAUUGUGUAUUGGUGGAAGAGGCCACACUGGAGCACGUACCUACACCAGUGGAGUUGCUGCUAAGCACCCAAGUGCCUGCGCCGGAACACCUUGAUGAACCGGAAGAGUUGCUGCUGAACA